rnacentral:lncRNA from 1 species
UGAUUUUUAGAAUAAGCUACAAAUUUUUUGGAUGCUAUAUUUCGUAUUAGUCAAAGAUAUUGAUAUGUGGUUAGAGAAAUAAUUUCAUAGUUUAGUAUUUUUUAAAUAUGAGCUAAAUAUAUUAUGGCAAAUCAUAUAGAUAAUAAGAUGAAAUAGAGGCACGUAAUUAGUCAUUUUUAGAAUAAGCUACAAUGGAGAAUUUUUUCAUUUGUAUGUUAUGUUUGAGCUACUAGUCCGGUACUCCUCUCCGAUCCGGCGUACAAAUAUGCACCACCCCAGUAACGCGCUCCAAGCCACAAGCUUUUGCAUCUCCGAGCUCUCAGCCCUCCAACACUUGCCCCACAAAGCUCUAUCCCC